GAUGAACGCUGGCGGCGUGCUUAACACAUGCAAGUCGAACGGAAAGGCCCUGCUUUUGUGGGGUGCUCGAGUGGCGAACGGGUGAGUAACACGUGAGUAACAUGUCCUUGACUUUGGGAUAACUUCAGGAAACUGGGGCUAAUACCGGAUAGGAGCUCCUGCUGCAUGGUGGGGGUUGGAAAGUUUCGGCGGUUGGGGAUGGACUGGCGGCGUAUCCGCUUGAUGGUAAGGUAGUGGCUUAACAAGGAUACGACGGGUAGCCGACGUAAGAGGGUGAUCGGCAACACUGGAACUGAGACACGGUGCAGAAUGCAACGGGAGGAAGAGGUAGGGAAGCUUCCGCAAUGGGCGAAAGGCUGACGGAGCAACGCAGCGGGAGUGAUGAAGGUCUUAGGAUCGUAAAACUCUGUUAUCAGGGAAGAACAAAUGUGUAAGUAACUGUGCACAUCUUGACGGUACCUGAUCAGAAGGCCACGGCUAAGUACGUG
rnacentral:rRNA from 1 species